rnacentral:rRNA from 1 species
GACGAACGCUGGCGGCGUGCCUAAUACAUGCAAGUAGAACGCUGAAGAGAGGAGCUUGCUCUUCUUGGAUGAGUUGCGAACGGGUGAGUAACGCGUAGGUAACCUGCCUUGUAGCGGGGGAUAACUAUUGGAAACGAUAGCUAAUACCGCAUAACAAUGGAUGACACAUGUCAUUUAUUUGAAAGGGGCAAUUGCUCCACUACAAGAUGGACCUGCGUUGUAUUAGCUAGUAGGUGAGGUAAUGGCUCACCUAGGCGACGAUACAUAGCCGACCUGAGAGGGUGAUCGGCCACACUGGGACUGAGACACGGCCCAGACUCCUACGGGAGGCAGCAGUAGGGAAUCUUCGGCAAUGGGGGCAACCCUGACCGAGCAACGCCGCGUGAGUGAAGAAGGUUUUCGGAUCGUAAAGCUCUGUUGUAAGUCAAGAACGGGUGUGAGAGUGGAAAGUUCACACUGUGACGGUAGCUUACCAGAAAGGGACGGCUAACUACGUGCCAGCAGCCGCGGUAAUACGUAGGUCCCGAGCGUUGUCCGGAUUUAUUGGGCGUAAAGCGAGCGCAGGCGGUUUGAUAAGUCUGAAGUUAAAGGCUGUGGCUCAACCAUAGUUCGCUUUGGAAACUGUCAAACUUGAGUGCAGAAGGGGAGAGUGGAAUUCCAUGUGUAGCGGUGAAAUGCGUAGAUAUAUGGAGGAACACCGGUGGCGAAAGCGGCUCUCUGGUCUGUAACUGACGCUGAGGCUCGAAAGCGUGGGGAGCGAACAGGAUUAGAUACCCUGGUAGUCCACGCCGUAAACGAUGAGUGCUAGGUGUUGGAUCCUNUCCGGGAUUCAGUGCCGCAGCUAACGCAUUAAGCACUCCGCCUGGGGAGUACGACCGCAAGGUUGAAACUCAAAGGAAUUGACGGGGGCCCGCACAAGCGGUGGAGCAUGUGGUUUAAUUCGAAGCAACGCGAAGAACCUUACCAGGUCUUGACAUCCCGAUGCUAUUUCUAGAGGUAGAAAGUUACUUCGGUACAUCGGUGACAGGUGGUGCAUGGUUGUCGUCAGCUCGUGUCGUGAGAUGUUGGGUUAAGUCCCGCAACGAGCGCAACCCCUAUUGUUAGUUGCCAUCAUUCAGUUGGGCACUCUAGCGAGACUGCCGGUAAUAAACCGGAGGAAGGUGGGGAUGACGUCAAAUCAUCAUGCCCCUUAUGACCUGGGCUACACACGUGCCACAAUGGUUGGUACAACGAGUUGCGAGUCGGUGACGGCGAGCUAAUCUCUUAAAGCCAAUCUCAGUUCGGAUUGUAGGCUGCAACUCGCCUACAUGAAGUCGGAAUCGCUAGUAAUCGCGGAUCAGCACGCCGCGGUGAAUAAGUUCCCGGGCCU